CUGUGCGUGAGUGGGCGGGGCCCCGGGGAGCGGGGGCGGGGCGGGGUCUGUGGCAGUCAGCCGCCUUGUGAUGAAAGAGCCAGCAGCUCGAGGCAGGUCAAGCUUGAUCAAGGGUAUGGAGACCAGUCGACUGAUCUUCCCAAACCGGACCCUCAAGAACAAAGGGGGCACCAAGACGGAGGACCCUGCCGGGAAAGCCAGGAUGUACAGUCCCCAGCCACUCUUCACGGCCGGCCCCCUUCUGCAGUGGCAGCGUGGCUCCCUCCAGGAUGUCUUGCGGAUCGUCCCAGCCCUAACGAUCGCGCGGACGUGGUUCCCAGUGGCCACGAGGGCGCGCAGAUGCACGGAAAAGACAGGCCACCCCUCCUUCGCUCAUUGAUUCAGUUUUCUAAAGGAGAGUGUACGAAGGAUCGCUCCGUCUGGACUCCCGUGAUGGGGGAACUGAGGCACAGGCCACGAAGUCACGGACGCUAAGCAGCAGAGGCGGAAUGGGAGCCCUGUCCUACGGUGUGCAGACUCCGGGCUCCUGGACGCCACACCAUGGCCACUUGGUGGCUCCCAUAAGCUGUGUUCCACGCUCUGCCCUCAGUGGGAAGGAAGGCCCUGAGCUUUCAUGCCAAAGACACCCUUUGCGUCUCCCCCGGAUCCGUACCCAUGGCCGCAUGGGCGACAGGCCGAGAAUGCUGAGAGAGACGAGGCCUCUGCCCUGCUUCUCAGAGAGGGGAGAUGCUUAGACCAACCAGAGCAGGUACCGAUCACCAGAGCAGGAGCCGGCACCGAGGGCCCAGACGGCAGAGCCCGGCAGUUCCCACAGCAGAGAGGGGACACACAUAAGGCGAGCAUCUGCUCGCAGAGGGAACAGCAGGUGCAAAGGUCUGGAAGGUCCUGCGCAUGGUGGUGGAGACAUAGCUGAUGGGAGAAAAGCAGGAAUUGGGAUGCAGCUGGGCCACCAAGGCCUCGAAUGCCGGGUCCAGAGGACCAGGAUCCUGCUUCCUCUGUCUCCCCAGCUGCCCAGAGGCAUCUCAGGGGGUUUCUCUACCCCGCACAGCAGCCCCCGGGUGACUCCCUCAUGGUCGUUACCUUGUGCCCGUGGCCAGGGUCCUGGGGCCCCGCCAAGCUGCCUUCCACCUACCUGCC